CAUUUUCAACUUUGGUACCAUUUUUAGCUUUGGUACCAAAGUUGAAAAUGGUACCAAAGUUGAAAAUGGUACCAAAGUUGAAAA
rnacentral:pre_miRNA from 1 species